rnacentral:rRNA from 1 species
ACUGUCAACUACGGCUAUACUUACACAUGCAAGUCUCAGCACCCCCGUGAGAACGCCCACAGUUCUCUGCCCGAGAACAAGGAGCUGGUAUCAGGCACAUGUCUCUAUAGCCCAUAACACCUUGCUCAGCCACACCCUCAAGGGAAUUCAGCAGUGAUAAACAUUAAGCCCUGAGCGAAAGCUCGACUUAGUUAAAGCCAAGAGGGCCGGUAAAACUCGUGCCAGCCACCGCGGUUAUACGAGAGGCCCAAGUUGACAGGUGCCGGCGUAAAGAGUGGUUAAGAAAAACUAUCCAACUAAAGCCGAACACCGUCAGAGCUGUCAUACGCUUCCGAAGGCAUGAAGCCCCACCACGAAAGUGGCUUUACCCCCUUCCGACCCCACGAAAGCUGCGGAACAAACUGGGAUUAGAGACCCCACUAUGCCCAGCCCUAAACUUUGAUGACACAUUACACCCGUCAUCCGCCAGGGAACUACGAGCAUUAGCUUAAAACCCAAAGGACUUGGCGGUGCUUUAGACCCA